CUGAUGUUAGCGGCGGACGGGUGAGUAACACGUGGGUAACCUACCUAUAAGACUGGGAUAACUCCGGGAAACCGGGGCUAAUACCGGAUAANAUUUUGAACCGCAUGGUUCGAUAGUGAAAGACGGUUUCGGCUGUCACUUAUAGAUGGACCCGCGCCGUAUUAGCUAGUUGGUAAGGUAACGGCUUACCAAGGCGACGAUACGUAGCCGACCUGAGAGGGUGAUCGGCCACACUGGAACUGAGACACGGUCCAGACUCCUACGGGAGGCAGCAGCC
rnacentral:rRNA from 1 species